AUGGACUGCAGGACAGGGCUGCUGCUUUUAACUAUGUGCUGGGCAGGUGCUGAUGGCCAGGCUCCAGCAGACUCUGAACCAAUAAUUAAAAGGCCUGGAGAAUCUCACAGAUUGACAUAUACAGCCUCUGGAGUCACAUUCAGUGGCUACUGGAUGGCCUGGAUGAGAGAGGCUCCUGGAAAAGAACUGGAGUGGAUUGGUUUCAGUAGCCCUGAUGGUACUAGACAAUACUACUCGCAGUCAGUUCAAGACCGGUUCACCAUCUCCAGAGACAACAACAGACAGCAGCUGUAUCUGCAGAUGAACAGUCUGAAAACUGAAGAUUCUGCUGUUUAUUAUUGUGCUCGGGAGCCACAGUGACUGAAGUAGUUUAAGCAGCUUUACUGAACUUAUUCUUUGACUAAAUGCUUAGUGUUUAUGUACAUAUUAGUGCUGUCAAUAGAUUAAAAAAAUAAUCUCACAAUUUUCUGUAAGUAAUUGCGAUUAAUUGCA